CAACCGGGGGGAAUUUGCCCCAUAAAUGAGUUUACAACUCACCGCCUAAAUCAGCCACCCGAUU
rnacentral:tRNA from 1 species